UGGGGAAUCUUAGACAAUGGGCGAAAGCCUGAUCUAGCCAUGCCGCGUGGACGAUGAAGGCCCUAGGGUUGUAAAGUCCUUUCGCUGGGGAAGAUAAUGACUGUACCCAGUAAAGAAGCCCCGGCUAACUCCGUGCCAGCAGCCGCGGUAAUACGGAGGGGGCUAGCGUUGUUCGGAAUUACUGGGCGUAAAGCGCGCGUAGGCGGAUCAGCAAGUUAGGGGUGAAAUCCCGGGGCUCAACCCCGGAACUGCCCUUAAAACUGUUGGUCUAGAGUUCGAGAGAGGUGAGUGGAAUUCCGAGUGUAGAGGUGAAAUUCGUAGAUAUUCGGAGGAACACCAGUGGCGAAGGCGGCUCACUGGCUCGAUACUGACGCUGAGGUGCGAAAGCGUGGGGAGCAAACA
rnacentral:rRNA from 1 species